AUACGUAGGGUGCAAGCGUUGUCCGGAUUUAUUGGGUUUAAAGGGUGCGCAGGCGGCUCAUUAAGUCAGUGUUAAAAUACAGCAGCUCAACUGUUGAACUGGCAUUGAUACUGAUGAGCUUGAGUACAGUGUAGGCAGGCGGAAUUUAUGGUGUAGCGGUGAAAUGCUUAGAUACCAUAAAGAACACCGAUAGCGAAGGCAGCUCGCCGCAGUGAAACUGACGCUCAGGCACGAAAGCGUGGGGAUC
rnacentral:rRNA from 1 species